ACUAAAUUAGUAACGAACGAACAUGUCGGGAUUAUUGUAAAGUAUCCGCGGACAGGGUUGGUCAUGCGUGGGACGGAAAACUCUUACACGAGUAGUUAAUCUGCUGCACCGAAAUAGCGUUGACUCCUACAGGAGUUGAUGUCGACUUGUUACACGUUUUCAUUUGAAAUCGUGAAAGUUGAAACGAAUGUGAAAAAAAUUCCAACCAACAAUCUGUCUAAUACACGCUCAAUUUGCACGGCGAAACAACUUCGAAUUACCGAAAGUUCAGUUCGGGCUGGAUUUUACUUCGUAAUUACUGCAGAAAGUUUUGAAUAUUACCGAAGGUUAUACUCUGGAAGUCCUACUAUACGUCGACGGAACUUGUACUAAAUCCUGAUGUUUAUCGUGAAUAUAUCGACGGCGCGGCGACGGUGGAAAAUCGAAAAAGAUGUUCGGCCACCGAGGAAGUUGUUCGUCCUACUUGAAAACCUUAUAUCUAAAACAUUUAGUUGUUGAAAACCCACGUCGAUUGU